rnacentral:misc_RNA from 1 species
GAUGAAGAACGCAGUGAAAUGCGAUAAGUAAUGUGAAUUGCAGAAUUCAGUGAAUCAUCGAAUCUUUGAACGCACAUUGCGCCCGCCGGUAUUCCGGCGGGCAUGCCUGUUCGAGCGUCAUUUCAACCAUCAAGCCCUGGGCUUGUGUUGGGGACCUGCGGCUGCCGCAGGCCCUGAAAUGCAGUGGCGGGCUCGCAAGACACACCGAGCGUAGUAGCUUACAACCUCGCUUUGGGAGUGCUGCGGGUGCUGGCCGUAAAGCGACCUUUGCGUCUUUAGCACUAGGUUGACCUCGGAUCAGGUAGGAGGACCCGCUGAACUUAAGCAUAUCAAUAAGCGGAGGA